UAAUCCUAUGUAGCUAUGCUAAUCUAGAUAUCUAAUUGAUGUGGUGGCUCUAAUCUUGAUCAGAGGCUUCUUCUCCCUUGAUGGAACAAUGAAUUAGGGUUGAGAGGCUCUCUCCUCCAGGGGUCAGGGGGUCUGGUUUUAUAGUCCCUUCAAGUGAAUAUGGGCCGUUGGAUCAAACCGACAUAGAUUGUAUGGUUUAGAUUCAUCCUUUAGGUCGGUGGAGAUCUGCCGCAAAGCAGAGUCCUGAUUGGACUCAGAGGCAGGGCGGGCGCCCUGACCAACUGGGCGGGCGCCCCGGGUCUGGCCCCGUUUCGCCUCCGCUUCGGUCUCAUGGCUUCUGGAGUCUUCUAGAUGUAAGAUAAUUGCGCGGCACGUUAAUAUCUUUACGUAAUCCCGACGUGUGGGCCUUUCUGCCGUAUUUCCUGAUAACUCCCUGCAGAAAUAGACAAACACCAAAACUCGUGGAAUUCUGUCAGAUAAAACCCUAAGUCUAGAUGUUGAUUUCAUUUGGAUCCUUUUCUUUAUUUAUUUGAUAAUUAAAUUUGAUACUUAAGGACCGUCAACAAACUCCCCCAAGCUUACCUCUUGCUUGUCCCUGAGCAAGGAUAGACUCAGCUAUGGAUCAUAAGUUGUAGCAAUAUCUUUAAAAAUUGAUGGUACACAUGCUUUUUAAAUAAGAUCUCAUCUCUGAGUUAGAGUAAACUGUCAAGACUUAAAACUUACUUAGUUUACCUUCACCAUGGGACUUGUAACUGUCACUUCUGUAUUGAGUGGUUAAAAGAUAGAACAGUCUAGUCAAGUGCCAUGUCUCUUAUUCUUGAUCAGCUAUAGAUCUAGAGUUUUUGUAGAUUUUCAAAUAAAACUCAGAGAUUCCUUGUAUGAUUCUCUCAAAUCUCUCUUUUGUGGUAUUUCUGGAUCCUUACCAAGGCAGUGAUGGUAUAUGCCUUCUCUCAAGAUAUGUAGUAUUUGUGGUAUAAGGCAUAGUGACAUUGCCUUCUCUCUCACCCUACUCUAAUAAGGCUUUAAUAUCUGGAGCUCAUAGGUGGGAGAUAAAAUAUACAUACUUACAAGACAUUUAUUGCAUAGUCAAACCAUGGAUCCAAAGAAACAAAUCAAUAAGCCAAAUCAAGAUGUGCAUGUGUGGCGAAUGAAUGAUGUAUGGUGGUGAUGGUGAUAACAAUGGUGAAAACAAUGGUGGUGGAAGUCUAAUUCUACUUUGCUCUUUUGAGGGGAUACAUACCUUUCUUGCUUUUUGAAACUUUAUGAGGAGAAUGAGAUGCUCUUCUUUUUCUUUUCUCUCAAGUGGGUAUCUUGCACCCCUAAUUCUACUGUCGGACACUUGUCCAUUUUUACCUCUCGUCUCACUUUUUCUUUUCUUUCGAGGUUCCGAGCACUUGCUCCUUUUUAUUUCCUCGUAUUUCUUCUCUUUUUUUUAGAGCACUCAUCUCAUAAGAUAAUAUAGCAAGUGGUAGUAACAAGAUAACUUGAGCAUUUAUUUCACAAGGGGAAACAGAAAUAUUUUUGGUUAUUCUCUCCCGGAUUAGGAGUAGAAUAUUUUUAGGUGGUUCUGGAGAUGGAAAUGGAUAGAUAUAUGUGGAUGGUACUUCCAGAGUAGAAGUAGCAUAUAUGAGUGAAUGUGCAAGUGAAAUCUUGAUAUAACCACAUGACAAGUUCCUAAGGGUCUACACAGCUUGACCACACUCAAUGCUCAUAAGUAGUAAAUAUUAAAUGUGUGGCUCAUAGUCUAGCAAGCAUGUAUAUAUGGCUGUGGUAGGAAUUUAAACUCUGAUCAUAUAGGAACUCAUCAUGCAACAUUUUAAAGAUUUUCAAAGAUAAAAUUCUCCAGAAUUCUAGCAUCUCUAGGAACAGAUAAACAGCAGCUCAACCUUCCCAUAUCAUAUCCGUUAACAACUUAGACUUCAGAUCAAGUUUUCAUCCCACAAGUUUAGGUCUAGGGCAAGCUUUAAAUUAUAACAGUUAUAUCUAAACUUGAGAGAGAACUUAAAAUGUGCAAAUUAGGCAGAGCAACUAUUCAUCAUAUCCAUGCUUAAGUUUUAUUUAGAUACAGAUUAGCAUAGCCACUUUAUUUAUUUUAUUAAACACACUAAGCAAAAGACAUAUAUAUAAGCAUAAAAUCUUUAUUUGGUUUUUUCGUAGUUAUGUAUAUUUAUAUUCUAAAAUAAUAUGAGUGUAAAGAUAGAUAGAUAGAAAUACUUAUCGAGAUAAAUGGGGGUGCUCUCCCCCAAGCUUAAUUUUGAUGUAAUUUCUCUUGAUGUAGCUAGUAGGUGGCAUAGGUGUAUUUGAAAGUCAGCAGCAUUCUGACAGUGAUUAGAAUGUCCUUCGUCUGCUAGUCUUCUUGACUCUUAAAUUCUGUGGAGCUCAAAUAGACAACAAAGCUUGUGGAACUGAUUAAGUGUUAGCAUAAAUAUCUAGCCUUUAUCAUGUUGAGACUCCUUAAUAAAUGUUACUCCCUAUUUUUAUAUUUUCAUUUUUAUAAAGCAGAAAAAUAUUUAUUUUAUUUUUAUGCAACCACAGUGAAUGUACUUAUGGGUUUUAUUCCACUCGUAUACUCACAUGGGGCUUACUGUUUUUCAUAUUUUUAUUUUCUUUUUAAGAUAGUACGAAUAUGAUUAACUAAGCAAACUAUUUGAAAUAAUUGAAAGGGAAAGGAUAACUACCAAGUUUACCUCUUGGCAAGGCGUUCGGUAUUUUUAAGUCCUCCGAACGGGACUCUCCAUUUUCUUAAUCGUCCUGAGGUUCGUUGGGUGGCGUAGUCGGUACUUCCGGCAGCGCCUCCUCUUCUUGUAUAGUUAUCUUCAUUUUCCAUACCUGACUCGGUGCUUCAAUCCCCUCUGGAUAAUUCUGUUUAAACUCAACGUCUUCUGAUCUUACAACUUCUCCUUCGUAGUCUGCCCAUCCGUCCUUGAUGAUCUGCCUCCUUUGGUUGCGGUUGCAUCUCUUUCUGACCUGCUUAGAUUCUUCAAUGAUAUAGUGUGCAUAUAGACUUCUCCGGUUCCAAUGUAGAUAAUUGCUUUAACGGUGCUGAGGAACGGUCUUCCAAGGAUGAUGGGUGGAUCGUACUCAUCUUCUCCCAUGUCAAUAACUUGAAAGUCUGUGUAGACAAAGUGAUCGUCUAUUUUGACUGGGACAUCAGUUACUGUUCCUUUAACUUCACGAAAUGUCUGAUCUGCCAUCUGGAGCUGAAUGUAUGUUGGUCUUAGUGGCAUGGUCCCGAACAAGAGCCGAUAGGUGACUGCGGCCAUUAUGUUGACGCCCGAUCCGGUGUCGCAAAUCGUUUUGUAGAAGCUAUAUCUAUGUAUGGAGCAGUAAAUGCUUGGCAUUCCUCGGUCAUCCUUCUUGGUUAAAAACGGUGACUUAAGUUGAUGAUCUUGACCUCCAUGAACUACAAUGACCAUCUUAGCUGACUCGGUCCACACUUGCUUAUUCUUAUUUCUCCUGUUGGUCCUCUUCCUUGAUUCACGUCUUGAUUGAUUUGGAAUUUGUGUAGUCUUGUUCUUGAAGAAAAAUGUUUCCUUCUUCCCUUUGACGUAGAAACUGAUCUUGGCAGCACUAGCGUAUAUGAUAGCUCUCGUGGUGUUCAAGAAUGGCCUCCCUAAGAUGAUAGGUGCUCUCUCAUCAUUUCCGGUCUCUACCACUACGAAGUCUGCUGGGGCAUACAAGGUACCAACUCGGACACAAAGGUUCGUCACAAUUCCUUUUGGAAAAGUUAUCGUCUGAUCUGCAAACUGCAAACACAUGGUUGUCUCUAAUAAAGGAUAUGUAAAGAAUUUUUCAUAGAGUACCCUGGGUAUAAUGUUGACACUGGAGCCAAAGUCGCAGAGUGCUUUUGGGACAUCCACCAUGCCGAUGGAGAUCGGGAUGAUGGGGCGUCCUGGAUCGCCUCUCUUGACCGGCAGAAGGUCAGUAGAGAAUUCAGUGACGGGGUUACUCCAAUUACCUACAUCAAACAUGUCUACAAGAUUUGCAGAUUCUAAUCCUUCCGGUUGUGAUGGUAUACCGGGGUUAGUAGUAGGAACAGCAGCAGCUAUUUGAUUUAACUGAGAUUCAAUCAUUUUAUUAAAGCUGAUUUGAUUCUUGAUGGCAGUAGAGAAAUUAUCCAUUCUAUUUUUUAUAUUUUCUAGCAUUUUAUCAUUUGAUGUCAAUUUCUUAGAUAGGUUAUCCAUUAGCUUUCCUUGAUUAGACACUAACUCUCUCAAAGGUGGAAGAUUAUUAUUAUUGUUGUAAGAAUUGAUACCUUGAUAAUUACCUGAGUAGUUAGGCCUCUGUUGAUUCCAACCUUGAUUUUGUUGAGGACGGUUGUAGUAGUAGUUGUUGUUGUUGUUGAUGUAGUUCACAUCCUCAAGCAUCUCAGGGCAGUGGUUGCCUGAGUGUCCAGUGUCUCCACACUCCUCACAAGUCAUGUGAGAGUCGUAGAUGUGCAUAACUUCUUUCUUGUCUCCAGCUCUAUCGUCGAGCUUCUUCAUGAGCAGGUCUAGCUUUGCAGACAGCAUGUCUACCUCCUUUAGCUGAUGCAUACCUCCACCUCUCUUGCUUGUCUGGGUCCUCUCUUCAUUCCAGCUUUGAUUGGACGCCAUCUUCUCCACAAGAGUUGUGGCUUGUGGUAUAGUAAGUGAUAAGAAAGCUCCUCCAGCUGCAGCAUCCAUGGUCUCUCGGGCACUGUUGCCGAGCCCAUGAUAAAAUGUCUGCAUUAGUAGCCAACUCUCCAUUCCAUGAUGGGGACAUUCUAGGAUGUAGUCUUGAAAGCGCUCCCAUGCUUGUGGAACAGAUUCAUCAUUUUGUUGCUGAAAACUCGUAAUCUUCCCACGGAGAGCAUUGGUCUUGCCCAUGGGAAAGAACUUUGCCAGGAAGUUUGUUGAGCAGAGUGCCCACGUAGUAUUCUUCUCCUUUGUAGUGUAGAACCACUGCUUUGCUCUUCCUAACAGUGAGAAUGGGAAGAGGCGAAGUAGUAUAGCAUCUUUGGAAACUCCUGCUAUGGUGAAUGUGUUGCAAAUCUCCAGGAAGUGUUGUAAAUGAGCACUAGCAUCUUCGUGUGCCUUCCCACAGAACUGGUUGGAUUGCACCAUGUUGAUAAGUCCAGGCUUGAGCUCAAAGUUGCCAUUGAUCUCUGCAGCAGGUCCAGUGCGGAUGUUGUCCGUAGUGGGAGCUGAGAACUCGCGGAUUGAUUUGUUCGCCAUGGCCUCGAACUCUGAAGACAAGUUCCGGUGAUCUUCUUGAUUUGAUGAAGCUUCUUGCUGAAGUGUUGAUGAUCUCUUCUUGAGCUUGGCUCUCGUCUUCUUGAAUAAUGCUUCGGGAUUGUCAACAAAAUUUCCUAGAUGAUGUCUUCUAUUCAUACAUUCCCCUGCAUAAGAUGAAAUAGGAAAAUAUCGGGGUAAAACUGUAUGAGAGAAUAGAUAAGCUCAAUCAUAUUAGUGAUGCGAAUGAUAACUCAAAAUCUUUUAUUCUAUUCCUGAUUAGUAAUCAACCUUCCCCGGCAACGGCGCCAAAAAUGCUUGUUGGGUAUUCUUAACAUCAUUACCAAAAGUAGACUAAGUUCUCUAAAUCUAGUAACGGUGCCAAAAAUGCCAAACCUAUCCCUCACACCACUUAAGCCGAGUUGUCAUCCCCAGCAUGAUAUAAGAGACGCGGUAUUGAAAUAUGCAAUUGCUCUUCUAAAUAAAUAAUGAAUGGGAUCUGCAAGCGCACAGAUUAAUACCGAUGUAGCAUUGUAACCGGGAAGUAUUCCAGGUAUCGUUAUUUAUAUUUUUACCACUGGGAAGGGAUUAACAAUCAUCAAUAUUGAUUACAGAAUAGAAUAUGAGAUUGAGCAUCUAUCAUUGCAUGUAUAAUUGAGAACAUUAUAUCUAACUCUUCAUACAGGGAUAAGUGCCACAUAAAGGAUAUAUGAAAUAAUAAUAGUGACAAGGAUAACUAAUCUGAUCUAGCCACAUAAUAAAUAUGAUAAGCACCUCAAUUAGAUACUCUAGAAAGUCAUUAGCAUGGUAUUAGAAUGAACUACAAGAAUAUUCCCUAAGUUAUUCUCAACUAUAUAGUCUAGCAUAUCAUAGUUAGUGCAAGCAUACUUAGCAAUCAUUGCGAGACAAGACUACGCCCAUGCAUAGUGAUAUUAGCAAGGAAUAUGAGAAACAUAGCAAUCACUCCCCUGUAAUAAUGUUGCUCUGCCAGCCCAAUACACGAGAGGGGGACUAUAUAAGAAUCAAUGAAGCUGUCACUAUCACGAACCACCCCACGAUCUGGCAUAUUGGGUACAAUCGCAGAUAAAUACGGUAUAAGCACCACGCCUACACAAUAUCUAUCAUUUACCCAUGGAUCCGAUGGAUAAACGCUAUACGAUCCUAAGCAUGUAUAUAGAUCCAAUCUAACUAAGCCAAGUACAUAACUAUGAUAAACUAAGAACAAUAUAAUCUUGAAUAUAAGCAAGUAGAGCAAAGUCAUAAGCAAUAUAUUGAAGUAGAACAAAGUCAUAUUCAUAAUAUUGAAGAACAAAGAUAAUUAGAAUGCAAUUAGAAGCACAAUUAGAGAAUUACCAAGAAUCCUCUUGACAGAUCCGAAAACCAAUCGAAGAUUGACUCCUUCUAGUUCUAAUCCUAUGUAGCUAUGCUAAUCUAGAUAUCUAAUUGAUGUGGUGGCUCUAAUCUUGAUCAGAGGCUUCUUCUCCCUUGAUGGAACAAUGAAUUAGGGUUGACAGGCUCUCUCCUCCAGGAUCAGGGGGUCUGGUUUUAUAGUCCCUUCAAGUGAAUAUGGGCCGUUGGAUCAAACCGACAUAGAUUGUAUGGUUUAGAUUCAUCCUUUAGGUCGGUGGAGAUCUCCCGCAAAGCAGAGUCCUGAUUGGACUCAGAGGCAGGGCGGGCGCCCUGACCAACUG
rnacentral:lncRNA from 1 species